GUCAGGAUGUCCGAGCGGUCUAAGGCGCUGCGUUCAGGUCGCAGUCCUCCCUUUGAGGCGUGGGUUCGAAUCCCGCUUCUGACA
rnacentral:tRNA from 1 species